CCUACGGGAGGCAGCAGUAGGGGAUCUUCCACAAUGGACGCAAGUCUGAUGGAGCAACGCCGCGUGAGUGAAGAAGGUUUUCGGAUCGUAAAGCUCUGUUGUUGGUGAAGAAGGACAGGGGUAGUAACUGAUUCUUGUUUGACGGUAAUCAACCAGAAAGUCACGGCUAACUACGUGCCAGCAGCCGCGGUAAU
rnacentral:rRNA from 1 species